rnacentral:rRNA from 1 species
GAUGAACGCUAGCGGCAGGCCUAAUACAUGCAAGUCGAACGAGAUUAAGGAGCUUGCUUCUUAUGAAAGUGGCGCACGGGUGCGUAACGCGUAUGCAACCUACCUUUAUCAGGGGGAUAGCCCGGAGAAAUCCGGAUUAAUACCGCAUAACAUCGUGGGAUAGCAUUAUUUUAUGAUCAAACAUUUAUGGGAUAAAGAUGGGCAUGCGUGUCAUUAGCUAGUUGGCGGGGUAACGGCCCACCAAGGCGACGAUGACUAGGGGAUCUGAGAGGAUGGCCCCCCACACUGGUACUGAGACACGGACCGGACUCCUACGGGAGGCAGCAGUAAGGAAUAUUGGUCAAUGGAGGGAACUCUGAACCAGCCAUGCCGCGUGCAGGAAGACUGCCCUAUGGGUCGUAAACUGCUUUUAUCCGGGAAUAAACCUGAGUACGUGUACUUAGCUGAAUGUACCGGAAGAAUAAGGAUCGGCUAACUCCGUGCCAGCAGCCGCCGUAAAAC